rnacentral:rRNA from 1 species
AAAUUGAAGAGUUUGAUCAUGGCUCAGAUUGAACGCUGGCGGCAGGCCUAACACAUGCAAGUCGAACGGUAACAGGAAGCAGCUUGCUGCUUUGCUGACGAGUGGCGGACGGGUGAGUAAUGUCUGGGAAACUGCCC